AUUGAACGCUGGCGGCAGGCCUAACACAUGCAAGUCGAGCGGAUGAAGGGAGCUUGCUCCUGGAUUCAGCGGCGGACGGGUGAGUAAUGCCUAGGAAUCUGCCUGGUAGUGGGGGAUAACGUGCGGAAACGGGCGCUCAUACCGCAUACGUCCUGAGGGAGAAAGUGGGGGAUCUUCGGACCUCACGCUAUCAGAUGAGCCUAGGUCGGAUUAGCUAGUUGGUGGGGUAAAGGCCUACCAAGGCGACGAUCCGUAACUGGUCUGAGAGGAUGAUCAGUCACACUGGAACUGAGACACGGUCCAGACUCCUACGGGAGGCAGCAGUGGGGAAUAUUGGACAAAGGGCGAAAGCCUGAUCCAGCCAUGCCGCGUGUGUGAAGAAGGUCUUCGGAUUGUAAAGCACUUUAAGUUGGGAGGAAGGGCAGUAAGUUAAUACCUUGCUGUUUUGACGUUACCAACAGAAUAAGCACCGGCUAACUUCGUG
rnacentral:rRNA from 1 species